UCGACAUAAUGAGGUUAGUGAGUAUGAGGAAAGUCGAUUUUCGCAAAGACGAAAAUUCAACAAUAUGUUUCUCAUAUGCACACUUUUGGAUUAAUAGUCGUAAAGUGCCACUUGAAAUUUCCCAGAGGUCGCGUGAUUAUACAGGCCUGCUGUGGAAACCAUGUCACUGCCCCAGUUCAGACUAUCUAUAAACAGCAAUGAGCUCUCAGAGAUGUCUGCUUUACAUCAGAGAGGCCAAGAGGGAAUAGGAGAUUAAUAGCACAGCAGCAGGAGCUGGAGUUCAGGGAAACAGAUGAGCCAAGAGGCGAAAUGAACAGAUAAAGGAUGAAGUUUGCAGCUCAGGAUCGGGCUGCAUGUCUGCAGGCAGCGUCACGAUGGAAGUGAGAGCGACAGUUUGGUCAGAAACAGUUUAGCUAUCCUUAAACAUGACUGCCCACAGGGAGAAAAUCUUGCGUUUCAGGUCGAAGGAGCACCGUACUGAGAUGUUUGGAAUAAAUGGGCUUAUCAAGGCCUUUUAGGAAGCAGUUUUGUAUCUUUAAGUCAGUGAGAGCGCACAUGAUUAAAAAACAUGUGCUAUUUUAGCCUUCUGCUCAUGGCUACUGUAAGAACCAUGAGCUGAAGAGAAAAAAAAUGUUGCUGAGUAGAUGUUCACUACAUGUCAGUGCUGCU
ensembl:lncRNA